rnacentral:tRNA from 3 species
UAGAAUGAGGUGUGAUUGGUAGCACGGAGAAUUUUGAAUUCUCAGGCAUAGGUUCGAUUCCUGUUGUUCUAG